GUGCUUGCUUUGGCAGCACGUAUAUUAAAAUUGGAACGAUACAGAGAAGAUUAGCAUGGCCCCUGCGCAAGGAAUUUGUGAACAGUAAUAGGUCUGGUCCAUUCUG